AAAAUCAUUACUCAGUUCAAUAACCUAAUUUGGUUUCAAAUAAUUGACUCUGUAAUAAUCAAAUCCACCCCAAACAGAUUAAGAUCUGCUAACACUCUUUCCCAAGGUAAACUAUAGGCUUUCAGGAAAUACUAAAACGCAAGUUUUCAAAUGUUCUGAAAAACAGCAGCGCUUCUCAAGUGAAUACAUGCUCUCUCUUUCAGCCUGCUCUGCCACACCAACCUUCCAAAGGACUACCUGAAAAGAGACAGCUAUAAUUUGGCAAGCAAAGAGACUUCCUACAAGUGGCAAAGCAAAGACGGUGCCUGGGAUCCCUCACAGACAAUGAAGAAACCAAAGCAGAACCAACUUACUCCUGUAACCAACUCAGAAGUGGCUUUGGUCAAUGCCUAUCUUGAGCAAAGACGAGCCAGGCGCCAGUCUCAGUUCAAUGAGGUGAACCAGAACCAACGUGACAGUGAUACCACGGAGUGUGGCAGUGAAGAAUCUAACUCAGAAGCCUCCUCAUGGAAGGAGAGUGAAAGUGAACACCACCCAUCACCAGACAGUAUUAAGAGGAGAAAAAUGGCUCAGAGGCAAAGGAAUCUGGGAAGUUACCAAAUGAGUGAAAGGCACUGUCUGCACUGCAAAGCCAUGAGAACCAAUGAAUGGUUGGUGCACCAUUCCCAACAAAAGGCUUCAGUAACACCGCCAAUGAAAGGAGACAGUCCAGAGGAAAGUUCCAUAUCUGACAUUAACACGAAAUUUAGUAAAUUUUGAAUUUUAUCACGUUCUUCCCUCACUUGAGGCCGAAUGAAAGAGAUGAAUAAAACAUGAAAAAUCACCAGAGCUCUAGGUGAGGAGGCUUUUACAACAAAGUCUCUCUACCAACAAACAAAAACAUACUUGGAACCCAAGAGGUAAAAUCUCACACAAUUCUUUGUUCAAAAAAAGGCCAUCGAAUGUGUUUAUGGCACCAUUAGAACACCGAAGAUCUGUAUCUGCGAUGAUUUUUUAAUUUGAAAUAGCACAAGACAGAUAUUUUAUGCCUUGAGUGUAUGUAUUUUGUUUAUGUCUGUAAUACGAAUAAGAAAGCUCUUUGAAAAUGUAUUAUUUAUGUUGAGAAACCACUUAAAUGUAUUCAGAUGUUUUGCUUAUCUGACUGACUGAAUGAACUAGGUGAAGUUGGUUGGAAUAGAAUUGCCACAUCCUGUCUAGGUUGACAUUGCCACACAUGUCAGCUAGGGGCUAGUGUGGAAGAGGAGCUCAAGAGGCUGGAGUAAGAUCUGAUUCCUGGAGUAGUUAAGUGGGGCCACCAGGUGUGGGGAAUGUAAGCAGGCUUAAGUAAAUGGGUGGUCAGUCUGGAGAUCAUCUUCCCAGAAUAGAAAUGGGAAAUAGGGUGGAUGGCAGGACCCCAGCUGGGAUAGAAAACAAGGCCCAGAUCCCAGAGGAGAGGGCUGGCAAGCACAAGAUGAAGCAGCAGGGACUCUUAUCUUGCGGCUAUAGUUCAAAGCAGGGCCUAAGUCUUGGGGGAAGCUGGGUGCGGUGGCUCAUGCCUGUAAUCCCAGCACCUUGAGAGGCCGGCAGGAGGAUCACUUGAGCCCAGGAAUUCGAGGCUAGCCUGGGCAAAAUGGUGAGAUCUUGUCUUUAUUGGGGGGGGGAAAAAAAAGUCUAGGGUAAGGACUUGGGUACUAUGUGUGGUUAAGACUACAGGCCAAUACUAAGGACUCAGCCUUUCAUGGGAGACAGGUAGGGGAUGGGGACAGAGACCAGACAGCAGCGACUUUGGGCCCAGGAGUCAUUCCUGAUAAGAGCAGAUUCCUCAACUGAAUACAACAAAGAUUCCUGGGAGGCAAUGAGGGAGUCCCAACCACUGGGACUAGGCCACUAGAAUCCACAAAACAGGGUAACAUUUCUCAGCCUAUUUGUGGAGGCUUUGUCUUAUUCAGAUUGCCUCAGGAUUAGAACAGGUCUGAAGGCACAGGAGAGAAGCAGUGAAGCUGUCCUCACAGCGUUAACAAGAAUUCUAGACAGAAAUAUAGUUAUAAAUAAGCACUAAUCAGGCUGCACUUUGACCUACUUCCUUGUAACCCAAAGUCACUAGAUCCUGACCAUUGGUAUCCCCAUUGUUCCUACAGAUGGGAUUUUUGACAUUAGAAUUCUAAGUCUUUUGUUUAAGAACUGCUUAAGAUGUUUUUCAGGUCCUAAAUUCUAAGGAAACAGCUAAUGCUAACCAGUUUGAAGAACCCGCAGAGGAAUGGAAUCAGCAUGAGAAUACAGUUUCAUCAUCUCCCUGUCCAUGACUUCACGCUGCACUCUUUGACCCCUCAGUGAUCUCCACACUUUGGCCCACUCCAUGAUCCUUAAAAUCCUAGCCCCCAAAUCCUCAGGGAGAUGGAUUUGAGGUUCCCUUUCAUCUCCUCAUUUGGCAGACUUAUGAUUAAACCUUUCUCUGCUGCAACCUGGGAUCUCAGUGUAUUGACUUGUUGCACAUGAAACUGCCUUUGCAAAAUCAUGACAGUAAGAGA